UACGGGGGGGAGCAAGCGUUUGUUCGGAUUUACUGGGCGUAAAGGGCGCGUAGGCGGCCAGCACAAGUCAGUUGUGAAAUCUCCGAGCUUAACUCGGAAAGGUCAACUGAUACUGUGCGGCUAGAGUGCAGAAGGGGCAACUGGAAUUCUUGGUGUAGCGGUGAAAUGCGUAGAUAUCAAGAGGAACACCUGCGGCGAAGGCGG
rnacentral:rRNA from 1 species